UACACUAAAAAGUCAAACCUGCUAUUAUUCACUUUACCUUUUAUUUUGUCCUUAUCAUUAAAACUCAAAGUUUUCAAGCCUUUUUCAUUAGUUUUUUUUUUUUUCCACCCAAAGUAUAUUUCUUGGACAUGUUUUGGCCCAAAUUUUGAAUUCUUUUUGUUUCCCUCCUCCUUGGAGACAGUUUAAUUUAGUAUACAUAGCGUUACUCUUUCAAAGUAAUUUCAUAAGCAAAAUCAUUAUUAUCUUCCCCACUAUCCACUGGUCGGAUUGUUUACCUCAAAUAACCAAGCCGCCUAGUACCUACUCUCCAUAUAUAUCAAGCCAUGUGCUUUGUUGAGCCCAAAAAUUCCACACCCCACUCAAGGAAAGUGGAUGCUUAAACGCUUACAAUAAUUUUUUUUUUUUCUUUGAGAGGUUCAAAACACUUGUAGUGAGAUUGAAGGCACAAAAGCUUCUUCAACCUUUUUUCUUCUGUUUCUUUUUUAUAUUAGCUAGGCUGGCUGUCCUAGCAAUCAUGAAUGAGACUUAUAUGACACAAAUACACUAUCACGAUAACGUCUUGUGUUAAUAAAAUAAAAACAUGUGUGAGUGUAUGUGAAUGAUGCACCUAGCUAUAGCCCGUCGUAUGACUUUGGUUAUAUUAUUGCACACAACCAAAAGAUGUCUAGAGUUUAUGCUGGAAUUAUUAACAUGAAAACUCAUUUCAUAAGAUAUGUAAUAAAUUAUGGAGCUAAUUAUAAAAUACACCUAUGAGGUAUUGGGAUCACUUUCGUGUGAGAAAUUUAACAGUUCAAACUAUUUUUUUAGGCCGUUCAAG
rnacentral:lncRNA from 1 species